GAUGAAGAACGUAGCGAAAUGCGAUAAGUAAUGUGAAUUGCAGAAUUCAGUGAAUCAUCGAAUCUUUGAACGCACAUUGCGCCCGCCAGCACUCUGGCGGGCAUGCCUGUUCGAGCGUCAUUUCGACCAUCAGGCCCUCCGGGCUUGUGUUGGGGCUCCCUGCGGCUGUCCGCAGGCCCUGAAAACCAGUGGCGGGCUUGCAAAGUCACACCGAGCGCAGUAGAUUUUUUUCAUCUCGCUCAGGGCGUGCGUGCGGGCGCCGGCCGUAAAAGACGAGAGCGCGGCCUCGGCCGCCCACAAAUACCACAAGGUUGACCUCGGAUCAGGUAGGAAUACCCGCUGAACUUAAGCAUAUCAUAAGCGGAGGA
rnacentral:misc_RNA from 1 species